AGACCCGAAACCCGGUGAUCUAGCCAUGGGCAGGUUGAAGGUUGGGUAACACUAACUGGAGGACCGAACCGACUAAUGUUGAAAAAUUAGCGGAUGACCUGUGGCUGGGGGUGAAAGGCCAAUCAAACCGGGAGAUAGCUGGUUCUCCCCGAAAGCUAUUUAGGUAGCGCCUCGUGAAUUCAUCUCCGGGGGUAGAGCACUGUUUCGGCUAGGGGGCCAUCCCGGCUUACCAACCCGAUGCAAACUGCGAAUACCGGAGAAUGUUAUCACGGGAGACACACGGCGGGUGCUAACGUCCGUCGUGAAGAGGGAAACAACCCAGACCGCCAGCUAAGGUCCCAAAGUCAUGGUUAAGUGGGAAACGAUGUGGGAAGGCCCAGACAGCCAGGAUGUUGGCUUAGAAGCAGCCAUCAUUUAAAGAAAGCGUAAUAGCUCACUGGUCGAGUCGGCCUGCGCGGAAGAUGUAACGGGGCUAAACCAUGCACCGAAGCUGCGGCAGCGACGCUGAUGCGUUGUUGGGUAGGGGAGCGUUCUGUAAGCCUGUGAAGGUGGCCUGUGAGGGUUGCUGGAGGUAUCAGAAGUGCGAAUGCUGACAUAAGUAACGAUAAAGCGGGUGAAAAGCCCGCUCGCCGGAAGACCAAGGGUUCCUGUCCAACGUUAAUCGGGGCAGGGUGAGUCGACCCCUAAGGCGAGGCCGAAAGGCGUAGUCGAUGGGAAACGGGUUAAUAUUCCCGUACUUGGUGUUACUGCGAAGGGGGGACGGAGAAGGCUAUGUUGGCCGGGCGACGGUUGUCCCGGUUUAAGCGUGUAGGUGUGUGUUCCAGGUAAAUCCGGUUCACUUUAACACUGAGGCGUGAUGACGAGGCACUACGGUGCUGAAGCAACAAAUGCCCUGCUUCCAGGAAAAGCCUCUAAGCAUCAGGUAACAUCAAAUCGUACCCCAAACCGACACAGGUGGUCAGGUAGAGAAUACCAAGGCGCUUGAGAGAACUCGGGUGAAGGAACUAGGCAAAAUGGUGCCGUAACU
rnacentral:rRNA from 3 species